GGAUGUGAGGGCGAUCUGGCUGUGACAUCUGUCACACCAGUGAUCGCCAGGGUUGAUUCGGCUGAUCUGACAGGCUAGGUGGGUGUCUCCUUCUUCCCUCACCGGUCCAUGUGUGUCCCUCCCAACUCUCAAACAGAGGAGGACUGAGCUUCCAUAAGGUUAUACAAGUAGCUGCAUUCCCCUGCCAGAACCUCCAAACAAACUAUCAAGAUUAGAGCUGUAAACCAGCCUUUACUUUAGAGCCAUGUGUUACAUAAAUAGCAAAAGUGCUAAUUCAUUCUA
ensembl:misc_RNA 7SK 7SK RNA